UACGUAGGGUGCAAGCGUUGUCCGGAAUUAUUGGGCGUAAAGAGCUCGUAGGCGGUCUGUUGCGUCGGCUGUGAAAACCCGAGGCUCAACCUCGGGCCUGCAGCCGAUACGGGCAGACUAGAGUUCGGCAGGGGAGACUGGAAUUCCUGGUGUAGCGGUGAAAUGCGCAGAUAUCAGGAGGAACACCGGUGGCGAAGGCGGGUCUCUGAGCCGAUACUGACGCUGAGGAGCGAAAGCGUGGGGAGCAAACAGG
rnacentral:rRNA from 1 species